rnacentral:rRNA from 1 species
UACGUAGAAGACUAGUGUUAUUCAUCUUUAAUAGGUUUAAAGGGUACCUAGACGGUAUAAUUAGUCUUAAACAGGAUACGAUUAUACUAGAGUUAUAUAUGAGGAGGUGAGUAUUUAUGCAGUAGAGUUGAAAUUCGUUGAUAGCAUAACGACUGGUAACGGCGAAAAGCAACCUUUUAUCUAAUAACUGACGUUGAGGGACGAAAGGCUCGGGUAACGAA